rnacentral:rRNA from 1 species
GACGAACGCUGACGGCGUGCUUAACACAUGCAAGUCGAAGGGAGUGGCGAACGGAUGAGUAACACGUGAGUAACCUGCCCUGUUCUUUGGGAUAAACCUGGGACACUGGGUCUAAUACUGGAUGGAUUGGGAUGGGCUCGCGGCUUAUCAGCUUGUUGGUGGGGGUAUGGGUUACAAAGGCUUUGACGGGUAGCCGGCCUGAGAGGGGGGCAGGUAACACGGGGACUGUGAUACGGCCCAGACUCUGACGGGAGGGGGCAGUGGGGGAUAUGGGACAAUGGACGAAAGUCUGAUGCGGCGACGGCGUGUGGGGGGUGAGGGCCUUCGGGUUGUAAACUCCUUUCGCCCGCGGAGUGGUAGUGGGUAAAGAAGCGCCGGCUAACUACGUGCCAGCAGCCGCGGUAAUAC